UACAGAGGUCUCAAGCGUUGUUCGGAUUCAUUGGGCGUAAAGGGUGCGUAGGCGGCGCGGUAAGUCGGGUGUGAAAUCUCGGAGCUUAACUCCGAAACUGCAUUCGAUACUGCCGUGCUUGAGGACUGGAGAGGAGACUGGAAUUUACGGUGUAGCGGUGAAAUGCGUAGAUAUCGUAAGGAAGACCAGUGGCGAAGGCGGGUCUCUGGACAGUUCCUGACACUGAGACGCGAAAGCGUGGGGAGCAAACAGG
rnacentral:rRNA from 1 species